rnacentral:rRNA from 1 species
GACGAACGCUGGCGGCGUGCCUAAUACAUGCAAGUAGGACGCAGUUGCGAACGGGUGAUUAACGCGUAGCUCACUACCUAUUAGAGGGGGAUAACUAUUUGAAACGUUAGCUAAUACCGCAUACUCGUAUAUGUACCUUCGUUGUAUUAGUUAGUAGGUAGUGUAAUGGCCUAACUAGGCAACGAUACAUAGCCGACAUGAGAGGGGGAUCGGCCAAACGGGGAAGGAGACACGGCCCAGACGCCUACGGGAGGCAGCAGUAGGGAAUCUUCGGCAAUGGGGGGAACCCUGACCGAGAAACGCCGCGUGAGUGAAGAAGGUUUUCGGAUCGUAAAGGUCUGUUGUUAAGGAAGCGGUACUUAACCAGAAAGGGACGGCUAACUACGUGCCAGCAGCCGCGGUAAUAC